rnacentral:sRNA from 1 species
GACUGCUGGGUGACUGGCUGGGGGUACAUCAAAGAGGAUGAGGAUAAGGGGACACAGUGAGAAGAUGGGAGUCUGCUCGCCAGGAAGGAGCCCUCACCAGCAGCCGCAUCGCUCAGCACCUUGAUCCUGGACUUCCAGCCUCCAGAGCUGUGAGAAACAAACCUCUAUCAUCUACCAGCCGUCCACGGCGUGGGAUUUGUGUUACAGCAGCCUGAGCUGACCCAGACGCCAAGGAGCAACACACGUACCAGGGUAGGCUGGAGAAACCAGAACCCGGGAAUCCCGCCUCCCUCAACUUGAAACUUGGGAAUAGUGUAUUGUCUUUUCAACACUUGCACUAGUAGAAGGUUAAUUACAUGAAAGAUUAGGCAAAAUGUA